rnacentral:rRNA from 1 species
GACGAACGCUGGCGGCGUGCCUAAUACAUGCAAGUUGAGCGCUGAAGGUUGGUACUUGUACCAACUGGAUGAGCAGCGAACGGGUGAGUAACGCGUGGGGAAUCUGCCUUUGAGCGGGGGACAACAUUUGGAAACGAAUGCUAAUACCGCAUAAAAACUUUAAACACAAGUUUUAAGUUUGAAAGAUGCAAUUGCAUCACUCAAAGAUGAUCCCGCGUUUUAUUAGCUAGUUGGUGAGGUAAAGGCUCACCAAGGCGAUGAUACAUAGCCGACCUGAGAGGGUGAUCGGCCACAUUGGGACUGAGACACGGCCCAAACUCCUACGGGAGGCAGCAGUAGGGAAUCUUCGGCAAUGGACGAAAGGCUGACCGAGCAACGCCGCGGGAGUGAAGAAGGUUUUCGGGUCGUAAAACUCUGUUGGUAGAGAAGAACGUUGGGGAGAGUGGAAAGCUCAUCAAGUGACGGUAACUACCCAGAAAGGGACGGCUAACUACGUG